AUAUAGAGGUAUCGUAUACAUUGCCGUUUAUUUUUCGAUACUUUUAACUAUCGAUGGGUGGAUAUCCAACCCCUAAUAUUUUACUCGGGCUGAACCCUCCACAUACAACGCAGCUGCUUCUGGAAUGCUGGUGCCCCUCUUUUGCUCAAUCUAUCGAAUGAUGCGCAAAUACGGUUGGCGUGGGGGUACCACUGUCUUGACCAACCCUAUGAAAUCCCGGCCAGCGUAAACCCCUACUACGGGUAUCUCUUAUUUGCAACUAUGCAAAAAUGUAUGGUCAUGGUGGGGAAAAAGACGGUGACCCGUGAACCAUCUUCGCAGCAUCUUGUCAGUACAGUGACGACAAGUAAUAGGCGCAAGGUCAAUUAAAGAAAACAGAGUAAGUGAAAGUGAAAAAGUGAAGUUUAAAAAAAAGUGGUACGUAUAACUGCCUUAAGCUGAAUCUGGUACCCUCUUUUUAUUUGAUUAAAAAAAUUAUAUGUGGCAUCUUUUACUUUUAUUUGUAGACAAGUAACCGGACUGACCGACAAGCACACCUGUUUUUGCAGGACAUUUAAAAAAGAAGAAAGUGACAUUGACCCGUAGCAGCAGCAGCAGCAGCACCGCAGCUAACGGCGUAAUACAUUCGGGCCCGGCUAUUGGAGCGAAGAAAUGGCACCACGAGUAGCUCCCAAAAGGGGUGAAGACGGCGUGGGUGGGGACCGGGACACCCCAUCGCCCAGGCCGGACGACUUGUUUUUUCGAGGCCCUACAUAACGGCCUCUGCCUUCACGGAUAUA